AUUGAACGCUGGCGGCAUGCCUAACACAUGCAAGUCGAACGGCAGCACGGUCUGGUUUACCAGAUGGGUGGCGAGUGGCGAACGGGUGAGUAAAGCGUAGGAAUAUACCUUAAAGAGGGGGGAUAAACCUGGGGGAAACUCAGGCUAAUACCGCGUAAACUCUGCGGAGCAAAGCUGGGGACCGAAAGGCCUGGCGCUUUAAGAAUAGCCUGCGUCCGAUUAGCUAGUUGGUGAGGUAAAGGCUCACCAAGGCGACGAUCUGUAGCGGGUCUGAGAGGAUGAUCCGCCACACUGGAACUGAGACACGGUCCAGACUCCUACGGGAGGCAGCAGUGGGGAAUUUUGGACAAUGGGCGCAAGCCUGAUCCAGCCAUGCCGCGUGAGUGAAGAAGGCC
rnacentral:rRNA from 1 species